UGCCUACGGGGGGCAGCAGUGGGGAAUAUUGGGCAAUGGGCGCAAGCCUGACCCAGCAAUGCCGCGUGAAGGAAGAAGGCCCUCGGGUUGUAAACUUCUUUUAUCAGGGACGAAGGAUGUGACGGUACCUGAUGAAUAAGCUCCGGCUAACUACGUGCCAGCAGCCGCGGUAAUACGUAGGGAGCAAGCGUUAUCCGGAUUUACUGGGUGUAAAGGGCGCGUAGGCGGGAUGGCAAGUCAGAAGUGAAAGCCCGGGGCUCAACUCCGGGACUGCUUUUGAAACUGUUGAACUAGAUUGCAGGAGG
rnacentral:rRNA from 1 species